GUGUUGAAAGGAAUAAAUGGGCUGCAUUAGCGCAAGCUCUUGGGCCAAUUGGUGCAUGAUGAACUUGAAAACCGGGGUACCAGCGAAUACACAAGGACGCGUACACAACGAAAAGGCGUUAGACACGGACGGACG
rnacentral:lncRNA from 1 species